CGGCCCUUAAAUGUUUGCUUGCUCAGGAGCUUCACCUUGGGCAUCUUGAACCCUCACUUAGUCCGUGGAACACCCUGUGUUCGUCAUUAAGAAAUGGUCAGGGGCCUAUCACCUGCUACAUGACUUACAUGCAAUUAAUGCUCAGUGGGUCCCCUUUGGAGCCAUACAACAGGGUGGCCCUCUUUUAUCAUCCAUUCCCAGAGGAUGGCUGUUAGUAGUAACUGAUCUUAAGGAUUGCUUCUUUUCUAUUCCUCUGGCAGAGGAAGAUCGGGAAGCGUUUGCUUUCAC
rfam:Meleagris gallopavo isolate NT-WF06-2002-E0010 breed Aviagen turkey brand Nicholas breeding stock chromosome 1, whole genome shotgun sequence.